UUUUUUUUUUUUGUCUUUUUGCCUUUUCUAGGGCCACACCCACAGCGUAUGGAGCUUCUCAGGCUAGGGGUCUAAUCUGAGCUGUAGCUGCCGGCCUAUGCCAGAGCCACAGCAAUUCGGGAUCUGAGCCGCGUCUCUACACUACACCACAGCUCACGGCAACACUGGAUCCUUAACCCACAGAGCAAGGCCAGGGAUAGAACCCGCAACCUCGUGGUUCCUAGUUGGAUUUGUUAAACCACUGAGCCACAGCGGGAACUCCCAGGAAAUGUUUUAAACGUGCCUUCCCACCUUCCAUGUCAGCUUUAGAAAAUCACUUCCCAGAUCUGUUACAGAGGUUUAUCACACUUCUGUGUCUUGUGCACGAGCAGAGCAAAUCAUAGUAUCUGAACCAGCUCUGGAGAAAAGGCGAAAAAGAUGGCAAGAUGGGACCAGAAGAUCCACCAAAGCAAUGCUCUACAAUACGAAGCAGAUUUGUAGGUGGAUGAUGGUCUUAACAGGGCUGAACUUAGUGGCCGAAUAAAGCAAAAGUACAGCCCUCACAUAGGUCCAUCAGAACCCGAGAAAGAGCUUCCAUCCAUUUCCAUAAAUAAUUACCAUGCUGGAAAACAGAAGGGGUAUUCUAAAGGCACGAGAACUGGGAGAGGAAAAGAAGAAUAAACAAGAGCCGCAGCUUUCAGGGAAGGUUCUCAAAUGACAUCUGAAGCAUCAUUGUUUGAAUGGUGGCCUUUACGAUCCAAGGACAAAACAACCAGGCACGAUUAGCCUUACUUAACUGCAUUAACCUUCAGCUAAUGUCUUGAGGAAGUAAAAUCAACAGCUUGAAAGGAACCUGCACACAGUAAGGAUAGCACUCGUGUGAAAUCCAAACUGGUUUUGCUAUGCCUGCAGGAACCCAAGAAAUAAGUCAGGGUUGGGGGGGUGGUCUGGUUGACAUAACGAAUUAAGUGCUUCUCUUUAGUUAAUAGUCUCGGAACACUCCUACUUUAAAAUUAGCUCUGCAUUCAUGACACCUAGUAGUCGACAUCUCUCAAAAGUCAGAGAGAUACUCAACAACAUUUUAGAGGGGCUGGAGGGAGGGGGGCAAAGUGGUACCAACAGUAGUUCAUUUGAUAUGUAGGAAACAGUAACAGAAGGAGGGCAGUAAUAAAACUUUUUUAAGUAGAUGGUGAGAUCCCUGCAAUAACUGACAAGGGUGUUUGGCAUUUCUGCACAGCGACAUCACGCCUUGGAUCACCGGGGAUCGUUCAGAAUGCGUUCCAGAUAUGUUCGAGGAAGGAAAACUGCCUUUGUGUUUACAAAUAGGAAAAAAAAAAAAAGAGUUACUGUGAGCUAUUAGGUGACUGGCCUUGAACGUCUCUAGGAAGUAAAUGUAUGAAGCAAACAGACAGGCCUGAUUCCAUAAAUGGGCAAAGAAUGCGAAGGAACACGUGUUAUGUGCGUGCCUGUGUGUGUGUGUGUGUGUGUGUGUGUGUGUAGAUUCCAUAAACACCCACAGAGUCCCUCCCAGGGCAUCUCCUUGGAUUUCCCUCUCUUUGGACCUGAAUAUACAAAUGUGCUUGGGAGAAAGGAGAAGGACCCUCAGAGAGAGAACAGAAAGACUGCCUCUCUCUAUAAAGCACUGAGCUUUUACACUGCAGGCUCUGCAAGUUUUUAAACUAUUUAUUUUAGAAGGACUGCACGAUAUGGCUAACCCGAAUAACCAGGUUGUUAAAUGUUGUCCACACAUCCAGGGGCCCGGGUGCCUGCUUUCCUUUAUAAAGGAAGGCAUGUGUUCAAACAGCAUCUCACUCUAAAGAGCUGUCUUCACGUACUGACUCAUUGGGACCAACACUUGAUCAAGCCAUCUGGCGGCCCUACAGGGUUUUUAAGAAAUGAGUGAAACUCAUCUGAGAAAUCAUGUAUGGGGGUGGGUGGGGGUAGGCAGCUAUGGACGAAAGGAAUCACAGAAACUCUUAAAUUAAGGGGACACGUGGUAUUUGAGCACAAACCAGCUUUGUUUUCUCCUAGGAAGAAAGAGCAGUCAGAAAAUGAGAAGCAUGCUUGUAGAAAAUGUGGCUUUUCUUUCUUACACCCGUGUGCAUUGUGGGCUCUUCAGGAAGACUGAAAGAAAUAGUCCCUUUCUUUGAGGCCUUCAAUGUCCCAGGGAUGAACACUGGCUUCUGGAACUUCUGGGGAGGCUUACUUUUCUCCUUUCUGCUUACAAGGGAAGGGGAUGCAGAUGAGCUCAUGGGCAGGGGUCACUGACAUACACACACCAAGCCUGUGCUCCCGCACCCCAGGAUCUCAGCCUCCAGAGGGGCUUGGCCUGUGGAACAAGGCCUGUGUUAGACACAGAAGCUGAUGCUCAACGCUGAAGGACACAGAGAGAACCCUACUGAGUAGGACAUUUCUCAGCAAGCGAUCAACACGCCGUUACAGGUCACAGGUCACUCUAGAUAAAUCGCUAGUUAUCCUCACAACUCUUCACCCUAUGUCAUCUUUAAUGGCAAAAAUGGAUACUGUGUUUCAAGAUGUUUGGUUUCGUGAGUAAGAAAAUUGCUGAGACAAAGCAGCUGAAUUUGGAGAUGAGAUCUGUGACACUGAAAACAUAUUAUACAUACAUUCAAAUAGACCAAGCUACAUGAUUUCCCAUCAUCUGCAUUACAAUCUCGGUAGCUAAAAAUGAGACAAAUGAGGCUGCCAUUUAUUUUCUCAUUUCCUGUUAUUUUGAUGAAUGGAAUUAUUUCUCCAGCUUAACUAUUAUAAAAUAAGAUUUAGAAUAAUAAGAAAUAAACUAUUAAUCAAAGUCUAUAACUUUUGGCAAGGAAUCCAGACAAAUCAAAAUAUCAGAUUUCAUAUUUCAGCAAGAAACAAGCUGGUCUUUUAAAUCCCAAAACCCAGGGAAUGGAGGGAGAGAGGGUUAAUUUUUCUUAGUUUUAGACAUUGUCUUAAUCUCUGAUGUUUAAUAACAAUAUAAUGGAAAAAUACAAUUUCUCCACAACGCUAAAAAAAAAACUCUUACUUUUUGCUCUAACAUCCAUAGCACAGUGAUACCAAUAUUUUAGCAGAUUAUUUUCUCAAAAUGCUCUCAUGAUGAAUUUUGAGAACUGCCAGAAAUUAAACAUUAAGUUGUUCCUCUGACAAAGCAUCUUGAAAGCAACAAUAUACAUGAAUUCCUCCCCUGAUGCAGACUUUUGCUGGGAAUGUUGGCUUCUCUUAGGAAUCAGAAUCAUCCUCCCAACCCAACAGGCACCAGCAGUGGUGGCUUUCCUCCCAAGGGUUGGAAGACGCGUCCCCACAGCUAUGGAAGCUCCGCUCACGAAGAGGGCUCCUCUCUGGCAGCGUUUUGGUUUUGGUUUGGUUUGGUUUUUUUACCCUUUUACAGUAAAUCAAUCAAUGCAGAAGAAUGAGAUGCCUACAGAACUGGUACUAUGCCCGUGAACCAACUAUCCAAUACCCUACUAUUUUCUUUUAAUUUUUAAAAAUUAAAAAAAUAAAUAAAUAAAAAUAAAUAAAUAAAUAAAGACCUUGGAGUUCCCAUCGUGGCGCAGCGGAAGCAAAUCUGACUAGGAACCAUGAGGUUGCGGGUUCAAUCCCUGGCCUCUCUCAAUGAGUUAAGGAUCUGCCGUUGCCAUGAGCUGUGCUUUAGGUGGCAGACGCGGCUCGGAUCUGGCGCUGCUGUGGCUCUGGUAUAGGCCGGUGGCUACAGCUCUGAUUCGACUCCUAGCUUGGGAACCUCCAUAUGCCAUGGGUGUGGCCCUAAAAAGAAAAGACAAUAAAUAAAUAAAUAAAUAAAGACCUAAAUGGGAAAGGUAAAACUAAAAAAAAAAAAGGAGUUCCUGUUAUGGCUCAGUGGUUAGCGAACCAGACUAGCAUCCAUGAGGACGAGGGUUCAAUCCCUGGCCUCACUCAGCCGGGUUGAGGAUCUGGUGUUGCCGUAAGCUGUGGUGUAGGUCAAAAACUCGACUUGGAUCCCCCAUUGCUGUGGCUGUGGUGUAGUCUGGCAGCAACAGCUCCAAUUAGACCCCGAGCCUGGGAACCUCCAUAUGCUGUGGGUGUGGCUCUAAGAAGACAAAAAAGACAAAAAUAAAGAAAGAAAGACCUAAAUAUGAUAGGUAAAACUAAAAAAAGAAAAAAAUCAAAGUUUUAUUGACGUAUGGUUGAUUUACAAUGUUGUGAUAAUGUCUGGUAUACAACAAAGUGAUUCAGUUACACAGAUACACACAUCCCUUCUUUUUCAGAGGCUUUUCCCAUAUAGAUACCCUACUACUAUUUAAUCCAGAUAUUCAGCUUCCAAGACCUCAGUAAUCCUCUCCACCCCACCUAGCACCUCUGCUUCCUGAUAAAGAAAGGACUGCGCUGGGAUCUCCUACUUCAAGUGCAAGCCUGACACAGAUGAGGCUUCACCAGCAUGGAACAGAAAAGAGACCACAACCAAAAACACAUCAAAAGGAAACUCUUUGGAGGAAGGGGAGGGAUGGAGUGGGAGUCUGGGGUUAGCAGAUGCAAACUAUUAGACAUAGGAUGGAGAGAAACAAAGUCCUACUGUACAGCACAGGGAACUCUAUUCAAUACCCUUAAUAAACCAUAAUGGAAAAGAAAAAAAAUAAACUGCAUGUAUGACCUUGAACAACAAAACCAAAAUGGAAACUCUUCUUUUUCAUCAAGUGGGUCAUCCUGAUCUAACUGCAUUUAAUCCAUCCCGGCAUAUGUGUACAAACCCCAGCCCUGCUCCACUGUUCCAGAUAGACUGUAUAUUAUGACACUAGGACUAUCCGACAUAGAAAAUUCCAAUAUUAACACGGCAAAGUCAGGGCAGCGGCUGUAUCUAUUGUGUGUGCAGAUAUGACCUUUGUCCCCUAGAUUGAGAUCCUCUGAACUGGGGGCAGCAAGCCUGGGAACUACAUCUGUGUUGACAAGACACAGUUUUUCCCAUCCUCCCUUUAAGGCACUACCAGCAAGCAGACUGUAAAACAAGGCAACAUCAGAGCAUCGACAAGCAGGAGACGCCAAGGAGAGGAAGUGACCGUGACGUUUAGACAAGAAAACACCUGGGUCUCCCCAGUCAUUAAGGACGACUGUUCAGCCUUAGAGAAACUGACAGCAGCUAACGCCCUGGACGUGGUCUCUGCCAGGCUCGGUUCACCCGCACUGCUCAUUUUCUUAGCAAGCACAGAAGUAAGUGUGGCUUCUGUCAUCAUUUUCCAGGUGAAGAAGCAUAGGUGAGGUUCACCUGCCUGAAGGGAGGUCUAGGGCAAAGCCCUGACUCAGUAACCCAGUAUCUUAGUAAUAAUUCAUGUUGUUGAGUCUCUCAGAGUAGAACUGGCUGAUCUUGACCGAACUUCAACGAUGGGAGCUAUUAAAUAUUUAUCCGUUCCAACAAGAAUCAUUCUUCUCCACUUCAGUCCCACAGAGUCACCUGCCAAGAGGCAUCUUGAACUUGAAGGUCAUCUGGAACUGGUUUUGUCAGGUUCCUCCUGCCCAGUUCCAGGCUCUAGGCAUGGCUCCUCUGAGAGAGCUGAAGCCUUAAGCCAGAACCCAAGGCCACCCCCCUCUUCCCCUCCCAUCCUGCUUCUGUCCCCACACCCACCUCCCACCCCUCCAGCCCUACCCAAGCUGGGGCCACUUCUGGGUCCCGCUGGAACGACCCUAAGCACCUCCACAGUGGUCCAGCCAGCUGUCCAGAACCACCACACUCUAUCCCUGACAAAGACCAGCCUGACCUGCUGCAGACACAAGCCCUGGUGCAGACCCAGCUCAGGUCCCUGGGCCCCUCAGGAUGGAGCUCCCGCAUCUCAGUACCAACACCAAGUGCCUGUGUGUCUCCCCAGGCUCCUGUCCUGAGAUGCUUCCCAGCCACCUGGCUUUCCCUCCUCCAGCCUUGAACUUCAUACAAGGAAGCUGCUCUUCUACCUCUGGGGGACGGGGACCUCCGCCCUUCGGCCCCCAGCGCAGUGUACUCAAUGCCCCAAGCCUGCAUUCCAGGACCCUCAGCCGAUUACAACUCUGCACCUCUAAACCACCCCUUGGGCCUCGAGCACCAUGAAGGCAAUACAAAUAUUUACCUUGUCUCCCAAUAUCCGGAUUAUCUCCGCCAAUACGACAGAGCCUGGCACAUCGGAUGUGCUCCAUAAAUACUGUUAAUGAAUGAAUAAAAGAUUACUGCAGAACUGAAUUCCCAAACACUGUUUCAGUGAGAUAAUUUAACAUCUAUUAUGUACAUCUAUAGAAGUCCAUC
rnacentral:lncRNA from 1 species